UAAAUCAAUGUGCCGGUCAAAUCUCCAUU
rnacentral:sRNA from 1 species